UCCGUAGGCGGGCAAUUAAGUCAGAGGUGAAAUCCCACAGCUCAACUGUGGAACUGCCUUUGAUACUGGUCGUCUUGAGUUACAGUGAAGUAGAUAGAAUAAGUAGUGUAGCGGUGAAAUGCAUAGAUAUUACUUAGAAUACCGAUUGCGAAGGCAGUCUACUAACUGUAUACUGACGCUAAUGGACGAAAGCGUGGGGAGCGAACAGGAUUAGAUACCCUGGUAGUCC
rnacentral:rRNA from 1 species